AAGUCGAACGAGCGAGAGAGAGCUUGCUUUCUCGAGCGAGUGGCGAACGGGUGAGUAACGCGUGAGGAACCUGCCUCAAAGAGGGGGACAACAGUUGGAAACGACUGCUAAUACCGCAUAAGCCCACGGGUCGGCAUCGACCAGAGGGAAAAGGAGCAAUCCGCUUUGAGAUGGCCUCGCGUCCGAUUAGCUAGUUGGUGAGGUAACGGCCCACCAAGGCAACGAUCGGUAGCCGGACUGAGAGGUUGAACGGCCACAUUGGGACUGAGACACGGCCCAGACUCCUACGGGAGGCAGCAGUGGGGAAUAUUGCACAAUGGGGGAAACCCUGAUGCAGCGACGCCGCGUGGAGGAAGAAGGUCUUCGGAUUGUAAACUCCUGUUGUUGAGGAAGAUAAUGACGGUACUCAACAAGGAAGUGACGGCUAACUACGUGCCAGCAGCCGCGGUAAAACGUAGGUCACAAGCGUUGUCCGGAAUUACUGGGUGUAAAGGGAGCGCAGGCGGGAAGACAAGUUGGAAGUGAAAUCCAUGGGCUCAACCCAUGAACUGCUUUCAAAACUGUUUUUCUUGAGUAGUGCAGAGGUAGGCGGAAUUCCCGGUGUAGCGGUGGAAUGCGUAGAUAUCGGGAGGAACACCAGUGGCGAAGGCGGCCUACUGGGCACCAACUGACGCUGAGGCUCGAAAGUGUGGGUAGCAAACAGGAUUAGAUACCCUGGUAGUCCACACCGUAAACGAUGAUUACUAGGUGUUGGAGGAUUGACCCUUUCAGUGCCGCAGUUAACACAAUAAGUAAUCCACCUGGGGAGUACGACCGCAAGGUUGAAACUCAAAGGAAUUGACGGGGG
rnacentral:rRNA from 1 species